CUUCGUGCUGCCGCUGCUGCUGGUUGCUGGCUUCUCUUAGUUAUUCCGUUGUCGUCGACGUUACCUGGAAUAAAGUAAAGCAGAGGGCGCCGCGAUAACGUUGCGGCCACAUCCCCGGAUUAUUUAGUACGUGUGUGUAUGUAUGUAUUUGCCUUUAUCAUCUGACUCGAAAUGCGACUGCGACGACGACUAUGACUAUGGGGGGCGAUGACGACAACGUUUCGCUGGCCACGCGCACGCACAUGCUCCACCUAGUAUUCUCCCUCCCCCCGGGUUAAGGGCGGCGGCACCUAACUAACUAAUCGCCUAAUAAAUUUCAUUUCAAUAAAAUAGUUUACCCUCGUCCACUCUCGCUCUCGCCAUCCCCCUUCCACUUCCACUUCCCCUCUCGCUCUUUCUAUUUCCAUCUGGGAAAUUGUGAAUUUAAUACGCAUGUUUCUUGCCAGAGCAGUCCUACUGCAAUUUCUCCAGUUAUAAUGAAAUUAAAACUAAAGUCUGCUCUCGACGGGGAUGAAAAUCCUGUUUUUCGAUUAAAGCAAGGGAAGAAAGCUGGCGCUGGCGCUGCCGCCUCAGCGGCUGCCGCAGGGCAUUGUAUCCGUUUCACUUCAUCUACGUCGCUCGUGUAUACGUGUGCUUCUGUGUGUGUGUGUGUUUGGGGUUGCUCUGCGGAUGUCAACUGAAGGACUUGGACUGCUGCAAAGUCGGUCGUGUAUCGCUGUAGUCCCUCAGCUGUGGCACCGGAGUAGGUGCAGCUGGGGCCAAAGUCUCACCAGGGUCUGACCGGUCAGCGGGUCGAAAGUUCAAUGUGGGAAGACGAAAAGGCUGGGUAACUUUUUUGAAAUUUAAAAGAGACUUUUGCCAAAUUGGCCCGAAUUCAUAGCCAUCUUUCGUGUUUA